UACUUGAGCAUCUGUGAGCUCUAUACCUGCCCAGUGUUAACAUGGCACAUUUUCUUGUCAUGGUCAAGUUUGCUUGUAGCCAAACAUGGAGAUAAAUCUCAUAAGAACUUCUCAGCUCUGAUUGGAUGUUGCUGACCUUCUUAAGCACGUGGACAGCUCAGAGGAGUUAAUCUGCUGAGAUUGGCUAGGGCUGCUGAAGAGUGUAUUCGCUUGUUCUGGGGUCGUUUGACCCCUUGUAAUGACGCUAUGGUUGUGCUCUCUCAUAGGCUGUUGUCCAGACCAACAUCGUGGAGAUAAAACAGAUACCAGAGAGGACCGUCAUCCAUCCCUGUUCAGCACAGGAAAGGGUUACAGCACAGGAAACUCAGAGCAGCUACAGUGCUGCACAGUCAGUCCUCCAGCGGCAACUGCUUAACAACAGUCAGCAGCUGGAAUCAGAGUUUCCCAUCAGCCCCGGCAACAAUGCCAAUAUCUCUGCUGACUCACUGAGGACUCAACUCCAGAACAUACUGGCUCUUAAGGACCAGACGGAGGCUCUGUGGCGUGAGUUUGAGCUUCAGUGUUCCCAGAGCUCUCAGCACAUGGAAGAUGGCUGUAACAUGGAGCAGGAGAGAGCUCAGCUCAUUCAACAAUGGAGGGAACAACAGAUGUGCAUUCAGACCAGGUGAGACACAUGUACAUGUAGGCAAUCCAGAAUGGGACAAACUCUGUGCAUAAGGAAAAAUGUUUUAAUAUAAACAUUUGUCAUUCAUUUCUGUAAUCUAUGAAAAAGUUAUAUAUAUACAAAAAAAGAACUAUUUUGUCAAACUCAAUUGUAAUCAGUUCUCAGGCCUCCCAUGUGGAGGUCUAUUUUUGUGGUCUUGUCAUUCGAAAGCAAGUUCUAAUCUGUCACUUAUAAAGGUUCCAUGACCAUGUUGCAAGGGAGCCGGCUAGGUUUUGGAGCAGAGCUACUGUUAGCCAUAAGUGUUUAAGUGGCACAUUUAUAAUGUUAUUUUAUAUAUUGCUCAGGGUGAAGUCCCUUGAAACUGCGGUAGAGCUGCUGGAGUCAGCGGACAUUCAGAUUGGACUGAUUUCUGAUCAGAUCAAACAGAUCAGUCAGAAACCUCUAAAUAUCAGAAACUUUGCCAUUUCUGAUCCCAAAAAUCUACAUGAAGAACUAAAGCGUUUGGAUAAAAGUAUCGAGAAAGAGCUGUUUCUGCUUAAUAAGAGUGGUGGUCCAGUUAGUGACGCUGCUGAUCUGAGUCACAUUGAGCUCCAAGCUCAUCUUCCCCUUCAGCAAACUCUCCAUGACCGCACAAAAUGCUUGGAUCAGCAAAGACAAUGUCUGAGAAAGAGUGAAUCGGCCCUGAUGGGCCUCGUGAACCUCUUAUCACAUCUCCAGCAGGUGAAUGCCGACCUCAACGCAGCUCACAGCACAUCAAAUCGCAGUUUAGUCUCCAUCCGGCAAAGUCUUCAGCAGGCCAGGGAAGAAUCGGUUCAGCUAGACCGAAUGCUGGAUGAUGCUGGCAUGAGAAUAACUCUGGAUGACAAACCAGGCAGCUGUCAUGAGAUGGUGUCAGCUCUGGCACUGCGUGCCGAAGAGGUCGAGGCUAAACUGGCUGUAGGGCUGAAGCAAACUGACAGAGGAGGGAAAGGAAGAGCGGAGGGAGAACAGAGGGACAGAGUGUUCGGUAGGAAGAGGAUGGGCCUGCAGGUCGCCCUGAGGGAGGUGCUGGCAGCACUUGAAAAACAUGGCCUGAAGGAGCCCACACUUCCUGCACUACAGCACAGGUUACGCUUCCUGACAGACAUGGAGAGCAAACUGUUUGCACUACGCUCAGAGAUUCAGGAUCUGAGAAAAACUUGUGAACAGACAAGCACCUCAGAGACAGCCAUCAGCGAGCUGCAGACGCAAUGGGAAAACGCACACAGAACAGUCACAGAGAGUCGUGAACAGUGUGUCUCUCUGAGCGAACUACUGAAGAAGUUCCAGAGCUGCCGAAAUCGCUUGGGCAGCACUUUGCAGAAAGCAGAGCAGACUAUUGGUGACCAGGCCUCCUAUAUUGGCAAAGACAACCUGCAGCUCCUGAUCAGUAAGGUACAGAAAUACUGAAAAAUCCUGUGUGCAGUGCUUCCAUUCUUGGUGGACUGCAGGUGGCAGUAUUAACCUCAUUGUUUUAGAUGAUUUUUAGUGUUAACUACAUGUAUACAACAUAUUCAUUAGAUAAAACUGGGGAUAGAAUGAGUAUAAAUAACUACAUGACUAUUAUUUAUAUUUUGUGUAUGUGUGCAGGUGACCAGUAUAAAGACAGAUCUCGGUGGUCUUGGGGACGGGGUGGAGGAGUUCAGAGCUGUGUGUCGACAGCUGCAGUCUCUGAUGAGAAGGAUCCCAGACUGNUACAAUAAAUUAACGCAAUAACAAAUUAGGGCUGCUUUUUCUGUUUUGCUUACAAUAUU
ensembl:lncRNA